AUUGAACGCUGGCGGCAGGCCUAACACAUGCAAGUCGAACGAGUGGCGGACGGGAGAGUAAUGACUGGGAAACUGCCCGAUGGAGGGGGAUAACUACUGGAAACGGUAGCUAAUACCGCAUACCAUCGGAUGAGCCCAGAUGGGAGUAGCUAGUAGGUGGGGUAAAGGCUCACCUCGGCGACGAUCCCUAGCUGGUCUGCGAGGAUGACCAGCUACACUGGAACUGAGAUACGGUCCAGACUCCUACGGGAGGCAGCAGUGGGGAAUAUUGCACAAGGGGCGCAAGCCUGAUGCAGCCAUGCCGCGUGUAUGAAGAAGGCCUUCGGGUUGUAAAGUACUUUUAGCUAGGAGGCGUUACUCGCAGAAGAAGCACCGGCUAACUCCGUGCCAGCAGCCGCGGUAAUUC
rnacentral:rRNA from 1 species